GCCCGGGUGGCGGAAUUGGUAGACGCGCUAGGUUCAGGAUCUAGUGUUCGCAAGAACGUGCUGGUUCGAUUCCAGUCUCGGGCACAA
rnacentral:tRNA from 1 species